GCCUGGGUGGCUCAGUCGGUUAAGCGGCCGACUUCGGCUCGGGUCAUGAUCUCGCGGUCCGUGAGUUCGAGCCCCGCGUCGGGCUCUGUGCGGACAGCUCAGAGCCUGGAGCCUGUUUCGGAUUCUGUGUCUCCCUCUCUCUGACCCUCCCCGUUCAUGCUCUGUCUCUCUCUGUCUCAAAAAUAAAUAAACGUUAAAAAAAUAAUAAUAAUAAAAUAAAUAAA